UACAGAGGUCUCAAGCGUUGUUCGGAUUCAUUGGGCGUAAAGGGUGCGUAGGUGGCGGGGUAAGUCAGGUGUGAAAUCUCGGGGCUCAACCCCGAAACUGCACUUGAUACUGCCUUGCUCGAGUACUGGAGAGGAGAUUGGAAUUUACGGUGUAGCGGUGAAAUGCGUAGAUAUCGAGAGGAACACCUGCGGCGAAGGCGGGUUGCUGGGCUGAUACUGACGCUGAGGCGCGAAAGCUAGGGGAGCGAACGGG
rnacentral:rRNA from 1 species